GUUUGUCGGUCUGUCGCUUGCCUCCCUUCGGAGGCAAGAGGAAAGUCCGGGCAACAUAGGGCACCAUACUUCCUAACGGGAAGCAGGUCGUGAGGCUUGAGUAGCGUAACAGAAAAGAACCGCCGGGCUUUUGGCCCGGUAAGGGUGAAAAGGUGAGGUAAGAGCUCACCGGAUCCUUUGGCAACAAAGGGUGCCGUACGCCUUAUGGGUUGUAAGGUCAUGUAUAUCGGCGUAGGUAGGGCGGCUCGUCCGAUGCCGAGGGGUAGACCGCUUGAGCUUGUCAGAGAUGGCAAGAUUAGAUAAAUGGCAGGCGCUUAUGCUCCGACAUAAGUACAGAACCCGGCUUAUAGACAGACU
rnacentral:RNase_P_RNA from 1 species